UACGAAGGGUGCAAGCGUUAAUCGGAAUUACUGGGCGUGAAGGGUGCGUAGGCGGUUCGUUAAGUCUGUCGUGAAAUCCCCGGGCUCAACCUGGGAAUGGCGAUGGAUACUGGCGAGCUAGAGUGUGUCAGAGGAUGGUGGAAUUCCCGGUGUAGCGGUGAAAUGCGUAGAGAUCGGGAGGAACAUCAGUGGCGAAGGCGGCCAUCUGGGACAACACUGACGCUGAAGCACGAAAGCGUGGGGAGCAAACAGG
rnacentral:rRNA from 1 species